rnacentral:rRNA from 1 species
GGAAUUAAUGGGCGUAAAGCGCACGCGGGGCGGUUUGUUAAGUCAGAUGUGAAUCCCCGGGCUCAACCUGGGAACUGCAUUUGAACUGGCAAGCUAGAGUCUCGUAGAGGGGGGUAGAAUUCCAGGUGUAGCGGUGAAUGCGUAGAGAUCUGGAGGAAUACCGGUGGCGAAGCGGCCCCCUGGACGAAGACUGACGCUCAGGUGCGAAAGCGUGGGGGAGCAAACAGGAUUAGAUACCCUGGUAGUCCACCGCUGGUAAACGAUUGUCGAUUUGGAGGUUGGUGCCCUUGAGGCGUGGCUUUCCGAGAGCUAAGGCGUAAAUCCGACCCGCCUGGGGGAGUACGGCCCGCCAAGGUAAAACUCUCAAAUGAAUUGGCGGGGGGCCGCCCCAAGGGUGGGAAGCUUGGGUUUAAUUCGGACCACGCGAAGAAAUUUUCCUAUCUUUGAUUUCCAAAAAUUUUC